CGGACGGGUGAGGAAUACAUCGGAAUCUACUCUGUCGUGGGGGAUAACGUAGGGAAACUUACGCUAAUACCGCAUACGACCUACGGGUGAAAGCAGGGGAUCUUCGGACCUUGCGCGAUUGAAUGAGCCGAUGUCGGAUUAGCUAGUUGGCGGGGUAAAGGCCCACCAAGGCGACGAUCCGUAGCUGGUCUGAGAGGAUGAUCAGCCACACUGGAACUGAGACACGGUCCAGACUCCUACGGGAGGCAGCAGCC
rnacentral:rRNA from 1 species